ACCUUCGUGGUGUACUGGUCAGCAUGCUUGGCGCGUAAUCAAGAAGUCCGUGGUUCGAGUCCCGGCGAGGGCA
rnacentral:tRNA from 1 species